AUUGAACGCUCGCGGCAGGCCUAACUCACGCAAGUCGAGUGGCUGAAGGGAGCUUGCUCCUGGAUCCAGCGGCGGACGGGUGAGUAAUGACUAGGAAUCUGCCUGGUAGUGGGGGAUAACGUCCGGCAACGGGCGCUAAUACCGCAUACGUUCUGAGGGCGAAAGUGGGGGACCUUCGGCCCUCACGCUUUCAGAUGAGCCUAGGUCGGAUUAGCUAGUUGGUGGGGUAAAGGCCUACCAAGGCGACGAUCCGUAACUGGUCUGAGAGGAUGAUCAGUCACACGGGAACUGGGACACGGUCCAGACUCCUACGGGAGGCAGCAGUGGGGAAUAUUGGACAAUGGGCGAAAGCCUGAUCCAGCCAUGCCGCGUGUGUGAAGAAGGUCUUCGGAUUGUAAAGCACAUUAAGUUGGGAGGAAGGGCAGUAAGUUAAUACCUUGCUGUUUUGACGAUACCAACAGAAUAAGCACCGGCUGACUUCGUG
rnacentral:rRNA from 1 species